rnacentral:misc_RNA from 1 species
AGAGGGAAAUGCUCGUAGAGGAUUGAUGGCUGAUAUCCGGAGCUCUGGUUUUGUUGCACCAGGACCAGUUCAUCCAGUGAAGUACACGAUCGCCCCAAUAGUCUCCCCAUCACUGGCACCCUGUUAAUCAAUUUCAUGGCAAUGAAAACGCAAAGAAUCAGAACGGAGGUGUGAAUUUAUAUAUUAAGCAUAUAAUAAUAAUGAUAAUAACGAAGUAGCACGAAGAUUUUAGUAGCCAGCCGACUAGAUUGCUCCAUCAGGGUAUAGAGUGUGCGCCUGGUUCUGUUAUUUAAAAAAACAAGAUGUUACGUCGGAAUAUUAUUUUAGACGUGUUCUCCUAGUGUUAAUUAUAUGUUUAUAUAUGUGUUGCCAUAGUCAGCUUCUUCUUUUUGAAGCAGUAUAGAUAUCCUGGAGUCAUGUAAUAAACGUUUUGUAUUCAUAAUUUCAUUUUCCAAAUAAAUUCUGUGUGG